AGGGCGGGACACGUGGUAUCCUGUCUGAAUAUGGGGGGACCAUCCUCCAAGGCUAAAUACUCCUGACUGACCGAUAGUGAACCAGUACCGUGAGGGAAAGGCGAAAAGAACCCCGGCGAGGGGAGUGAAAAAGAACCUGAAACCGUGUACGUACAAGCAGUGGGAGCACAGAGCAAUCUGUGUGACUGCGUACCUUUUGUAUAAUGGGUCAGCGACUUAUAUUCUGUAGCAAGGUUAACCGAAUAGGGGAGCCGAAGGGAAACCGAGUCUUAACUGGGCGUUAAGUUGCAGGGUAUAGACCCGAAACCCGGUGAUCUAGCCAUGGGCAGGUUGAAGGUUGGGUAACACUAACUGGAGGACCGAACCGACUAAUGUUGAAAAAUUAGCGGAUGACUUGUGGCUGGGGGUGAAAGGCCAAUCAAACCGGGAGAUAGCUGGUUCUCCCCGAAAGCUAUUUAGGUAGCGCCUCGUGAAUUCAUCUCCGGGGGUAGAGCACUGUUUCGGCAAGGGGGUCAUCCCGACUUACCAACCCGAUGCAAACUGCGAAUACCGGAGAAUGUUAUCACGGGAGACACACGGCGGGUGCUAACGUCCGUCGUGAAGAGGGAAACAACCCAGACCGCCAGCUAAGGUCCCAAAGUCAUGGUUAAGUGGGAAACGAUGUGGGAAGGCCCAGACAGCCAGGAUGUUGGCUUAGAAGCAGCCAUCAUUUAAAGAAAGCGUAAUAGCUCACUGGUCGAGUCGGCCUGCGCGGAAGAUGU
rnacentral:rRNA from 1 species